CGUAUGUAACCUACCCUAAGAGGGGAGUAGCCAGUGGAAACGACUGAAUAAUACCCGCCAUGUGUUCAUGAUGUUGCCUAACAUUAUGAAGAAAGAUUUAUCGCUUUAGGAUGGGCAUGCGUCCCAUUAGUUAGUUGGGGAGGUAACGGCUCACCAAGUCUACGAUCUAUAGCUGGUUUUAGAGGAUGAUCAGCAACACUUGGGGACUGAGACACGGCCCAGACUUCCUACGGGAGGCAGCAGUGGGGAAUCUUGGACAAUGGGCGCAAGCCUGAUCCAGCCAUGCCGCGUGAGUGAUGA
rnacentral:rRNA from 1 species